GGCCCUUCUGAGAUGAGGCACAGAACAACAGAUUCAGACCAUGCUAUCACCUCUGGAUAUGAAAUUUGAUGUCACAAACUUGGGCCCUGACCAGCCUGUCAUAUUAUUCACCACUACCCAGAAGUAUGUUUUAUGCUGAUCUCAGUCCAUUUCCUCUUCCUCAGAAAUAAGGACUAAGGACCACUAACAACAGAUCCAAGAACACAUGUAAUGCCAACCAGGUAUUCAUACGCCUCUGACAUUUUCAAGCCUAAAGAUCAAGAGCCAUCAUCUUUUACAAGAGUUGCAGUUUGGUCUUAACCUC
rnacentral:lncRNA from 10 species